rnacentral:rRNA from 1 species
GACGAACGCUGGCGGCGUGCUUAACACAUGCAAGUCGAACGGAAAGGCCCUGCUUUUGUGGGGUGCUCGAGUGGCGAACGGGUGAGUAACACGUGAGUAACCUGCCCUUGACUUUGGGAUAACUUCAGGAAACUGGGGCUAAUACCGGAUAGGAGCUCCUGCUGCAUGGUGGGGGUUGGAAAGUUUCGGCGGUUGGGGAUGGACUCGCGGCUUAUCAGCUUGUUGGUGGGGUAGUGGCUUACCAAGGCUUUGACGGGUAGCCGGCCUGAGAGGGGGACCGGGGACAUGGGGACUAAGAUACGGAGCAGACGGGAACGGGAGGCAACAGGGGAGAGUAUGACACAGAGAGCGGGAGCGUGAUAAGAAGGCGCUGGGAGCGGGAAGACGGGCUACGGGGUGUGAACAGCCGUAGCAGGAGACGAAGCGGGAGUGACGGUAAUGAAUAAAGAAGCAACGGCUAACUACGUG